rnacentral:rRNA from 1 species
UACGUAGGGUGCGAGCGUUGUCCGGAAUUACUGGGCGUAAAGAUCUCGUAGGUGGUUUGUCGCGUUGUCCGUGAAAACUCACAACUCAAUUGUGGGCGUGCGGGCGAUACGGGCAGACUGGAGUACUGCAGGGGAGACUGGAAUUCCUGGUGUAGCGGUGGAAUGCGCAGAUAUCAGGAGGAACACCGAUGGCGAAGGCAGGUCUCUGGGCCAUAACUGACGCUGAGAAGCGAAAGCAUGGGGAGCGAACAGG